UGGGGAAUAUUGGACAAUGGGCGCAAGCCUGAUCCAGCCAUGCCGCGUGUGUGAAGAAGGCCUUUUGGUUGUAAAGCACUUUAAGCGAGGAGGAGGCUACUUGGAUUAAUACUCUAGGAUAGUGGACGUUACUCGCAGAAUAAGCACCGGCUAACUCUGUGCCAGCAGCCGCGGUAAUACAGAGGGUGCGAGCGUUAAUCGGAUUUACUGGGCGUAAAGCGUGCGUAGGCGGCUUCUUAAGUCGGAUGUGAAAUCCCUGAGCUUAACUUAGGAAUUACAUUCGAUACUGGGAAGCUAGAGUAUGGGAGAGGAUGGUAGAAUUCCAGGUGUAGCGGUGAAAUGCGUAGAGAACUGGAGGAAUACCGAUGGCGAAGGCAGCCAUCUGGCCUAAUACUGACGCUGAGGUACGAAAGCAUGGGGAGCAAACAGG
rnacentral:rRNA from 1 species